GUCCUUUUGUAUUUAAUAUAAGGUCUGACCUGCCCACUGAUAAUUUAAUGGCCGCAGUAUACUAACUGUGCAAAGGUAGCAUAAUAAUUAGUCUUUUAAUUGAAGGCUGGAAUGAAUGGUCGGACGAAAUAUUAACUGUUUCAUUAAAAUUUGAAUAAGAAUUUUAUUUUUUAGUCAAAAAGCUAAAAUUUUUUUAAAAGACGAGAAGACCCUAUAAAGCUUUAUAUUCAAUUUUAACUAGAUAACUUAGGCAUUUUAUAUUUAGUUAUAGUUGAGUAUUUUAUUGGGGUGAUAUGAAAAUUUAAUAAACUUUUUUAUUUAUUUACAUUAAUUUAUGAAAAAAUGAUCCACUUUUUGUGAUUAAAAAUUUAAGUUACUUUAGGGAUAACAGCGUAAUUUUUUUGGAGAGUUCAUAUCGAUAAAAAAGAUUGCGACCUCGAUGUUGGAUUAAGGAAUAUAUUUAG
rnacentral:rRNA from 2 species